UACGUAGGGUGCAAGCGUUAAUCGGAAUUACUGGGCGUAAAGCGUGCGCAGGCGGUCGUUCAAGUCGCGUGUGAAAGCCCCCGGCUCAACUGGGGAGGGUCACGCGAUACUGCUCGACUCGAAGGCAGGAGAGGGUAGUGGAAUUCCCGGUGUAGUGGUGAAAUGCGUAGAUAUCGGGAGGAACACCAGUGGCGAAGGCGACUACCUGGCCUGUUCUUGACGCUGAGGCGCGAAAGCUAGGGGACCAAACGGG
rnacentral:rRNA from 1 species